GAUGAACGCUAGCGAUAGGCCUAACACAUGCAAGUCGAGGGGCAUCACAUGAAGUAGCAAUACGGAUGGUGGCGACCGGCGCACGGGUGAGUAACACGUAUGCAACCUGCCUUCAACAAGGGGAUAACCCGUUGAAAGACGGACUAAUACCCUAUAACACAGGGGUCCCGCAUGGGAAUAUUUGUUAAAGGACAACCGGUUGAAGAUGGGCAUGCGUUCCAUUAGCUAGUUGGCGGGGUAACGGCCCACCAAGGCAACGAUGGAUAGGGGAACUGAGAGGUUUAUCCCCCACACUGGUACUGAGACACGGACCAGACUCCUACGGGAGGCAGCAGUGAGGAAUAUUGGUCAAUGGACGCAAGUCUGAACCAGCCACGUCGCGUGAAGGAAGACGGCCCUACGGGUUGUAAACUUCUUUUAAACGGGAAUAAAGUGCCCCACGCGUGGGGUUUUGCAUGUACCGUAUGAAUAAGGAUCGGCUAACUCCGUG
rnacentral:rRNA from 1 species